AAGAACUAAGAGUACUAAUACAUGAACUUGAACUCCCUCUCCUCCCCAUGUCACGUGGAGACAGAGAGAGAGAGGGAGGGGCAUUCACACCACGAUGUCACGUGGCCCAGGGGAGUACAAACAAACCCCCCCCCCCCUACACCAACUACCAACAUGGACUGGUCUGUCCAAGUCGCGCUCCCUGGCCCCCCUACACCAACUGCCAACAUGGACUGGUCUGUCCAAGUCGCGCUCCCUCGCCCCCCUACACCAACUGCCAACAUGGACUGGUCUGUCCAAGUCGCGCUCCCUCGCCCCCCCUACAACAACUGCCAACAUGGACUGGUCUGUCCAAGUCGUGCUCCCUCGCCCCCCUACACCAACUGCCAACAUGGACUGGUCUGUCCAAGUCGCGCUCCCUCGCCCCCCCUACACCAACUGCCAACAUGGACUGGUCUGUCCAAGUCGCGCUCCCUCGCCCCCCUGUCAGACACCAACAUGGACUCGUCCAUCGCUGGUCCCACCUCCCCCACGGAAAACCAUCGAAGUCAACGUACAGUUAGGACAGUCCACACAAGCGGCAUCAACAACAACAACAGCAGCAGGUGACGUCCCCGCGGCGUUGGUGCCAGGCUAGGUGCACUCUUAGGCCACGGGGAGUGUCGAAGGCUCGCUGACAGGAGGUCACGGGACAGAACCCUGCAGGUGCCAUGGGGUUGACCGACUCGAGAUGGCUGCAGACGCCACCAGCUGUGCCAACUCGCCGCGUUUUAGCCGCCCGACAUCUUCACUCGUUGUUGUGAGCGUCCCUCACGAGCCUCCUCCUCCACAGAGGCCGAUCUUGACACCGCCGGUACCGCUCAUCGGCAAGUCCACUCAGCUCCACAUCCUCCAACCAGGUGUCACAGCAGAGCAAUUGCAGAGGGAUGCUGCGAUUAUACUGGCGUGGGCUAAGCAUCGACGGCGGCCCUCUGUCAAUCCACAGCGGAGAGUGGCGGUGGCUGUGGUGGGACUGGUGGCGGUGGCUGCUCUUGGACUGGCUGCUGUGGGACACGCGGUGGCAGCAGCUGCUGUGGUGCUGACGGCGGCUUCUUUGAGACCGGCGGUGGUGGUGGCGGUGGCUGCUGCCGGACUGGCGGUGGUUGCUGGUGGAAUGGCAGCGGCUGCGGUGAGAUCGGGGUGGUGGUGGUGGCUGCUAUGGGACUAGCGGCAACGGCUGUUGCGUGUCUGGCGUUGCCGGUAGCUGCUGCUGCUGUUCCUGCCAUCGCACUUGCAGUUGUUCCCGUUGGGGCGGUCCGACAUCUUGGGUUUCUGGAGAUAAAGAAGAUGAUGGCGCUAAAGUCCAAACCGCUCGACAUUGGGUGAAUGAAAAAAAACCGGUCUAAAGUAUAAACAAGAAGAUCGCUGUACUUCACCAUUCCCUUAAUAUAAAAUGACGCGCUGUCAGGGUGUACAUUCUCCCUGGGCAUUUCCACGCACACGGGGCGACGUUUCAAAUCCAUCCUUUACCUUGCGCGCCGGUGAGGAGAGCUGCUGUCCAGAGACUGGGUCCGGGGUCGACCUUCGCCAAGUGGGGCCGCUUGAGGCACUGCCGGGACGUCGCCUUGACGUGCUCCAGCGGGCAGUAGCUGUCCGCUGGCGGCGCGUUCAAUUCUGGGGACCUGCAUGCACGCACCAACGCGUCGCAAACCGUUAACACCUGUCUUUAAAGGAGACACUGCUGCUGCUCGCACAAGACAAUAUCUUUCCAGUGAGCUGGUUUGGGGGACGGUUGUAAGUGCAGGUUCAAGUGGAGGGGAGAGAAGGCGACUUACGGAAUGUAGAAGAGCAUGUAGGCCUGCUCGUUCAUCACAGCCUUGGAGUCGACAUGCCGCACGAUGGAGUCGUUCAUGCAGCACCAUUGUCCAUCGCUGAUCUGCGCACAGUCAAAGCAAAGCUACACUUGGUUACAAUGUUUACACAACUGCACUCAACUUCCUCCGUUCAUGUAAUAACAACACACAAUACACACUCUAGACAACAAGUUCGUGAAGAGCAUCACCCCAUCGUCAGAGCUGCAGAGCGUGCUACGGUUGCUAUGAUAGUGCUGAAGUUACGGAACGAUCUGCCUGAACAUAUCACUGCAUGGAUGACCUUGGACCAAUUUAAUCAGAAUCAGAAUCUUUAUUUGUACUGAAAGAAUUCGAUGAUCUACGAAGCUCUUUUAAACAGAUGUCCACUCGGGGCGGGUCAGAAAGUUACAACAACAAACAAUACAACACCGAAUGGAGUGCAAAGUGUAGGAAUGCUAAGGAAGUCAUUAAAUACAAAUAAAUAAAGUAUAUACUGCAAGUAGAAAUUGCAUAAGUACAUCAAGACGCAAGAACAGACGCAAGACUUUUAUUUAUUCUUCCCUAUCGGACAUUUGUAACAUGGGCGCAUUGCAGAUGUGCGUUGUUAUUGUUUGAUGGUGACAAGUGGAAUUACCUUAUUGUAGCAAUAAUAAUGACCCCUGUUGGAGUCGGCUCCCUUGUGCACCAGCACCGAGUACAGGGAGUAGAUCGCGGGCUCGCCCUGAGACGUUGAGGUGAAGGGUUGCAUGUCCAGGUGCUCCGGGUAGGUGAUGUUCUACAGGCAGCGCACAGAGACAAACGUUAGGAGAGGAAACGGCAGCGGUGGUGGGGUGGGCAGCAGAGAUGGGCACCAUCUCAGUUACACGUCAAAGUGAUGACUUGAUGUCUCGCUCAUUUGAGCGUUGAAGACGGUGCUCAUCUCCUGUUCAUAGCCCUGAGCAAGUGGUGGAAAUUCUAUAGUCACAUGACGGGGGGCGAGUCUAUCUGUCGGACCUAUUCCAACAUGGAGAGGCAUUUUCUCCAGCGUUGAACUGACAAAGGGCUGUCACUAAAUAAUUUAAUGAGAACGAUGUGGAGGGGCAGAAUCGUUACCCGGUUGAUCUUGACGCCGUAGAGGUUGUACCGCUUGAUGGAGACGGUGAGGACGUUGGGCAGGCGGUGGAGAGCCAUCGUCUUCGUCGCUUCCCCCUUGCAGCAGCACCUGCACGACAACAACAACGCCAGCCAUCGCACGCGGUCCCCAACUUUCAAACAACAAGUCUACUCACUUUUUGUUGUUCGUUAUUUUUUUAUUCAUUUUUUAAGAUAAAAAUUGUUACUUAUUUACGUUAUAUAUUGUAAGUUAUUUUUUAUGUAUUAUUUAUAUUAUAUUUUUAUUACUAUCUUUUAUUAGAAUUUCAUUUAAUCUGCAGACUUUUGAAGCUACAAAUGAAUCCAGGGUGUCGACACACGAUGCCCACUCACAUUCUGCAGGUGUAUUCGUCCAGCGUCUCCUUGUUAAAAAAACUCCUCAAAUGCCUCCACAAGAUCUGAUGAGUUCUGUUGGCCGACAGAGUGAAACGCAAAUGAGAACUCUAAGAAGCAUUCCACGAACGUCUGCAGAAUUAUAUUGUGACGGCAACUCCGAAAACCCGCAUCUUGUAUAAAAUCGUACGACCGCAAAAGAAGAGAUCACGCACGCUACCGGCAGUGUGUUUGGAUGUUAAGUGGCUGAUUCAUGUAUGUGCGUGUGAUGUAUGAUGUAUGUUGGCACAGCAGGGGGCACAGAUGGUGCAUCGGCCAGUCAUUUCAGUCAAACCACCUGGGUUUGUCCCGUGACCUGCCAGGGCGUUCGACACUUUACGUGGACUUAAAGUGCACUCAGGCUGGCACAAGCAUUGUGGUGACAUCACUGCCACUUCGUGGCGAAUGGGGGAUUUUGUUCAUGUAUGUGAUAUAUGUACGUGUAACUUAUAUCGCACCGUACGUAGCCGUAUAACUGUUAAGCGAUGGCUUUGUCAUUGCUUACAUUAAUAUGGAGUGCAAUGUCCAGACACGUGUCAUAGGUGUCGGAGUAGUUGCUGCAGUGCAUGCACUCCACUGCAAAACACAAGCACAGACACAUUAGGAAAGGACGUCACAUGUUACUUAGUAAAACUAAAUGCACGCUCCCCACUGACAUAGGUAAUUGGUAGUUUUCACCAACUGGUAAAAGGUUAUUCUGUGUAGCACGUGCGUGAGAGUGUGCAAACGCUGCGACGCGAGCGUGUCUACACUGUGAUGGUGCGCUUGCUGCUCGCGGUGAACAAGUUUCUAGAGGAGUGCGCACAACUCACCACGUGAUCGAAGGUAACCCCCGAAGAUCUGGUAAAUGAGGGUGGUAGCCUCCGUGUAUCUGUCCAGCCUGCCACGUCACAGAGAACGACACCACACGGUGGUUACAGCAACAGCAGCAGCAGUAGUAGCACCUUUACCGGAUGCACACGCGUGUGUCAAAGUUACACCAUUGCCCGAGCUGUUGAUUCACUCUUUCCCUGCAGCACUGCAACGUGUGAUCUGUAGCAACGAAACGUCGCGUCCUGCACAGGGCAGCCACCUUCACGGCACAGCCACAGAGCUGGGGGCAAGCUGGCAGCCAUCACGCGGUGCUGUUGCCCGGCGCUUUUGUUGUGCUCGGCGUGUCGUCACGGCGCCACCGAACAUCGAGACAUCGAUUCACCGAUAUUUAUCGGCAACGUGAAAUGCGCAAACAAAAGAUGGCCCACGUCAGGGACAAGGUGAAAGAACCGUGGUGCCAGCAGGGCCGGUCCUCUGCAUCUUCCAGAUUUUCACACAAAAGUGUGAGUAGCUUAUCACAAACGUUGAAGGACAAUCGUGCAGAAAACCAAGAGGAAGCCGUGAGGCACCGAACUGCAGAACGACUGCCGCAAGUUGACUGGCGCGCAGUACUCACUCGCUGUGGCCAUAGAGGCAUGAGGCUUGCAUGGCAUCUACCACGUAUCGCAGAAACUCGUGGGCAUCUUCCUGUCUCUCAAUGCGCAGGUGUUUGGCGAUGCCUACAGAGAAAUUGACAUGGGGACAAAGUGACAGGUACAGGAUCUGAUGACAUCCUUCAAGAGCUCCCCAACAGAUAUGUCAAAAGGAGUGGUGCAAAGGACUUGGAACACAGAUGGAGAAAGAUCGCGGGGAUACCGUCUUCUCCGAGUGCAAGUGUGAACGUAGUUGUGGGACUCAGGCGUGAUGUUCUUAGUGAUGACGCUGGGUGUCAGCACUCGCUGCGAGUUGUUGAACGUGCUGACGACGUGACGCUCCAUGACGCACAUCAGGCAAAAGUCGCUCUGUUGGCCUGCGAACGAGGGCACAGGUGGCACAAUCCGUCAGCGCACGCCACCUGCACUCAGCACAGCUGGGGAGUAACAACAAAGGCUCGAAUCCUGGCACCAGCAACAAUCGCAGUUAAUGUUGCGUCUACGUACCGAUUGCAUCGCGAGAUGCUUUACAAGCCAAAGCAACAUCUGUCCGACCUAUUAAACACGAUCGCCACAUGUGCUCGUAUUUACCAAAAUCUGAAUAUUUAUACUGGAGGAAUCCGAUAAGCUAAGAUGUUUUGUUUCAAAAAUGUCCAGUAGGGCCACGGGGUCAGAACAUCACAACAUCAAACAAUACAAAAAACGAUGAGAGUACAAAGGACAAAUAAAACUAAACUUUUAUUUAAUCUUACCAGAUGAAGCCCACUGAGCUAUGAGCUUCUUCAGAAGCGACCUGGACCACAAAUGAUAGCUCAACGAAGUGGCUUAUCACGUGGGAAAUGUAUCGCGGCAAAAUAACUGACACAAUAACCUAGCCCAUGGGUAAACGAGAGUGCCAGGGGGGAGGGUACUUACAGGUGCUGCAGUGCUCUUGCAGCAGCAGCUAGUUAGCGAGCGGCGGCGUGUAGGCGAGGCACUGCAGCGUGGCGUUGAGGAAGCGUGUGCUCCCCCGGUUGCGCAGGCCGGCACCCUUGCAGACGUCGCUCUCCCACCUGAGGUUCAGCCGCUCCGGCGCAAACAGCGAGAGCCGUGCCGCCGGAAUGCCGUCGUCGUCGUCCUCUGCACAAAGGGUGCGAUGGUGGCGGAAGCCGGCGUCAUCGCAGGGCGCCGCACUGCCGAUGGGGCUGGCGUGGAUAUUCAGUGGCCCCAGCCAUCACCCGUGCUGCUACUCUUAACCACGAAGAUUUUGCUCCACAUUGAAGUGUCGGGCUCAAGUUCGCGAAAAAUAUGAUUUGCCUGUCACGUUGGCUGCUGGGAGUUUUGAGCUCCCCGUGUUACUCGUGAACGGCAACAGCAGUGGCUCCAAAGCCGUCCUUGCGUUGGUGGCUGCCACCCUCACGAGAGGUCACGAGGUCGCGUGGUCGCACGCUCACCUAGGGGUGCAGGCACAGACAUGCUGAUGUUCUCGCGUGCUGUGGCUGGCACCAGGGAGGGUUCCGGUCGGCCAUGGGGAAGGCAGCUGGGUUGCGUGCAGAGCCACUCGUCGGCCGCCACCAGCACCUCGUUGGACGAGGUGGGGGCCAAGACCGUGAGCUCGUUACCGAACGAGGUGCCCUCUGCUCCAGCUGCCACAGUCGUGGUUGGGUCCUGCCACAGCAACGCAGUCAACACAUCCACAAUUACUCCUCCCAUCCGGACUGGGAUCCCAACACACGUGGGACUGUUUUAUCACCAAAAUAUAUACAAUUUUAGUCCAUGAACCUAUGGGGGAUCUGUAUAAAAUGUCUCAGAAGUAAAUAUAUAUUUACAGUAUAUUUUUAAAGGAACCCCAAACUCACUUGGACUCGUAAAAUAUUACAUGAAGAACGUCCAUUGACUAAAGAUGAACUAAUUCAAUUUGUUAUGCAUGCUCGAGAGAAGGAAGCUGUAGUUUAAAAGAGGUCCUAAAUGCAUUUCAGAAGAUAAAUCGUGCAUUAAUGUUAAUCAAAUUCAUUCUUAACAUUUGUUAAAAUUUUACGAUAUAAUCCUCCGUGAUUUGUUCAAAUAAAUACAAUAACCCGAUGUAUCCUGAUUUUUCGGAAAUGCUCUUACAAACGACGUCAUGAAGGGCCAACUGUGGUGUGCCCUGAAGAAGGGCCAUUGCCUGAAACGUCGAUUUUAUAUAUUUUACCAGAUAAAGCCCACUGAGCUAUGAGCUCCAGAAGCGACCUGGACCACAAAUGAUGGCUCAACGAAGUGGUUCAUCAAGUGGGAAAUGUAUCGCAGCAAAAUAACUGACAUAAUAACCGAGCCCAUGGGUAAACGAGAGUGCCAGGGGGGAGGGUACUUACAGGUGCUCUUGCAGCAGCAGGUAGUUAGCGAGUGGUGGCGUGUAGGCGAGGCACUGCAGCGUGGCGUUGAGAAAGUGUGUGCGCCCCAGGUUGCGCAGGCCGGCACCCUUGCAGACGUCGCUCUCCCACCUGAGGUUCAGCCGCUCCGGCGCAAACAGCGAGAGCCGUGCCGCCGGAAUGCCGUCGUCGUCGUCAUCUGCACAAAGGGUGCGAUGGUGGAGGAAGCCGGCGUCAUCGCUGAGCGCCGCACUGCCGAUGGGGCUGGCGUGGAUAUUCAGUGGCCCCAGCCAUCACCCGUGCUGCUACUCUUAACCACGAAGAUUUUGCUCCACAUUGAAGUGUCAGGCUCAAGUUCUCGAAAAAUAUGAUGUGCCUGUCACGUUGGCUGCUGGGAGUUUUGAGCUCCCCGUGUUACUCGUGAACGGCAACAGCAGUGGCUCCAAAGCGGUCCUUGCGUUGGUGGCUGCCACCCUCACGAGAGGUCACGAGGUCGCGUGGUCGCACGCUCACCUUGUGGUGCAGGCAGCACAGACACGCUGAUGUUCUCGCGUGCUGUGGCUGGCACCAGGGAGGGUUCCGGCCGGCCAUGGGGAAGGCAGCUGGGUUGUGUGCAGAGCCACUCGUCUGCCGCCGCCAGCACCUCGUUGGACGAGGUGGGGGCCAAGGGCCAAGACCGUGAGGUCGUUACCGGACGAGGUGCCCUCUGCUCCAGCUGCCAAAGUCAGGGUUGGGCCCUGCCACAGCAACGCAGUCAACACAUCCACAAAUACUCCUCCCAUCCGGACUGGGAUCCCAACACACGUGGAACUGUUGUAUCACCAAAAGAUAUACAAUUUUAGUCCAUGAACCUAUGGGCGAUCUGUAUAAAAUGUCUCAGAAGUAAAUAUAUAUUUAAAGUAUAUUUUUAAAGGAACCCCAAACUCACUUUAACUCGUAAAAUAUGACAUGAAGAACGGCCAUUGACUAAAGAUGAACUAAUUCAAUUUGUUAUGCAUGCUAGAGAGAAGGCAGCUGUAGUUUAAAAGAGGUUCUAUAUGCAUUUCAGAAGAUAGAUCGUGAAUUAAUGUUAAUCAAAUUCAUUUUUAACAUUUGUUAAAAUUUAACGAAAUAAUCCUCCGUGAUUUGUUCAAAUAAAUACAAUAACCCGAUGUAUCUUGAUUUUUCGGCCGUGCUCUUACAAACGUCAUGAAGGGCCAACUGCGAUGUGCCCUGAAGAAGGGCCAUUGCCUGAAACGUCGAUUUUAUAUAUUUUACCAGAUGAAGCCCACUGAGCUAUGAGCUUCUUUAGAAGCGACAUGGACAACAAAUGAUGGCUCAACGAAGUGGCUCAUCAAGUGGGAAAUGUAUCGCAGCAAAUAACCGAGCCCAUGGGUAAACGAGAGUGCCAGGGGGGAGGGUACGUACAGGUGCUGCAGUGCUCUUGCAGCAGCAGCUAGUUAGCGAGCGGCGGCGUGUAUUCGAGGCACUGCAGCGUGGCGUUGAGGAAGCGUGUGUGCCCCAGGUUGCGCAGGCCGGCACCCUUGCAGACGUCGCUCUCCCACCUGAGGUUCAGCCGCUCCGGCGCAAACAGCGAGAGCCGUGCCGCCGGAAUGCCGUCGUCCUCGUCUGCACAAAGGGUGCGAUGGUGGCGGAAGCCGGGGUCAUCGCAGGGCGCCGCGCUGCCGAUGGGGCUGGCGUGGAUAUUAAGUGGCCCCAGCCAUCACUCGUGCUGCUACUCUUAACCACGAAGAUUUUGCUCCACAUUGAAGUGUCAGGCUCAAGUUCGCGAAAAAUAUGAUGUGCCUGUCACGUUGGCUGCUGGGAGUUUUGAGCUCCCCGUGUUACUCGUGAACGGCAACAGCAGUGGCUCCAAAGCAGUCCUUGCGUUGGUGGCUGCCACCCUCACGAGAGGUCACGAGGUCGCGUGGUCGCACGCUCACCUAGGGGUGCAGGCAGCACAGGCACGCUGAUGUUCUCUGUGGCUGGCACCGGGGAGUGUUCUGGCCGGCCAUGGGGAAGGCAGCUGGGUUGCGUGCAGAGCCUCUCGUCGGCCGCCACUAGCACCUCGUUGGACGAGGUGGGGGCCAAGACCGUGAGGUCUUUACGAACGAGGUGCCCUCAGCUCCAAGCUGCCAAAGUCAUGGUUGGGCCUUGCCACAGCAACGCAGUUAACACAUCCACAAUUACUCCUCCCAUCCGGACUGGGAUGCCAACACACGUGGAACUGUUUUAUCACCAAAAGAUAUACAAUUUUAGUCCAUGAACCUAUGGGCGAUCUGCUUAAAAUGUCUCAGAAGUAAAUAUAUAUUUACAGUAUAUUUUUAAAGGAACCCCAAACUCACUUGAACUCGUAAAAUAUUACAUGAAGAUCAGCCAUUGACUAAAGAUGAACUAAUUCAAUUUGUUGUUUUGCAUGCUAGAGAGAAGGCAGCUGUAGUUUAAAAGAGGUUCUAUAUGCAUUUCAGAAGAUAGAUCGUGCAUUAAUGUUAAUCAAAUUCAUUUUUAACAUUUGUUAAAAUUUAACGAAAUAAUCCUCUGUGAUUUGUUGAAAUAAAUACAAUAACCCGAUGUAUCCUGAUUUUUCGGCCGUGCUCUUACAAACGUCAUGAAGGGCCAACUGUGAUGUGCCCUGAAGAAGGGCCAUUGCCUGAAACGUCGAUUUUAUAUAUUUUACCAGAUAAAGCCCACUGAGCUAUGAGCUUCAGAAGCAACCUGGACCACAAAUGAUAGCUCAACGAAGUGGCUCAUCACGCGGGAAAUGUAUCGCAGCAAAAUAACUGACACAAUAACCUAGCCCAUGGGUAAACGAGAGUGCCAGGGGGGAGGGUACUUACAGGUGCUGCAGUGCUCUUGCAGCAGCAUGUAGUUAGCGAGCGGCGGCGUGUAGGCGAGGCACUGCAGCGUGGCGUUGAGGAAGCGUGUGCGCCCCAGGUUGCGCAGGCCGGCACCCUUGCAGACGUCGCUCUCCCACCUAAGGUUCAGCCGCUCCGGCGCAAACAGCGAGAGCCGUGCCGCCGGAAUGCCGUCGUCGUCGUCCUCUGCACAAAGGGCGCGGUGGUGGCGGAAGCCGGCGUCAUCGCAGAGCGCCGCACUGCCGAUGGGACUGGCGUGGAUAUUCAGUGGCCCCAGCCAUCACCCGUGCUGCUACUCUUAACCACGAAGAUUUUGCUCCACAUUGAAGUGUCAGGUUCAAGUUCGCGAAAAAUAUGAUUUGCCUGUCACGUUGGCUGUUGGGAGUUUUGAGCUCCCCGUGUUACUCGUGAACGGCAACAGCAGUGGCUCCAAAGCCGUCCUUGCGUUGGUGGCUGCCACCCUCACGAGAGGUCAAGAGGUUGCGUGGUCGCACGCUCACCUUGUGGUGCAGGCAGCACAGACGCGCUGAUGUUCUCGCGUGCUGUGGCUGGCACCGGGGAGUGUUCUGGUCGGCCAUGGGGAAGGCAGCUGGGUUGCGUGCAGAGCCUCUCGUCGGCCGCCGGCAGCACCUCGUACGAGGUGGGGGCCAAGACCGUGAGGUCGUUACCGAACGAGGUGCCCUCCGCUCCAGCUGCCAAAGUCAUGGUUGGGCCCUGCCACAGUAACGCAGUCAACACAUCCACAAUUACUCCUCCCAUCCGGACUGGGAUCCAAACACACGUGGGACUGUUUUAUCACCAAAAGAAAUACAAUUUUAGUCCAUGAACCUAUGGGCGAUCUGCAUAAAAUGUCUCAGAAGUAAAUAUAUAUUUACAGUAUAUUUUUAAAGGAACCCCAAACUCACUUGAACUCGUAAAAUAUGACAUGAAGAACGGCCAUUGACUAAAGAUGAACUAAUUCAAUUUGUUAUGCAUGCUAGAGAGAAGGAAGCUGUAGUUUAAAAGAGGUCCUAAAUGCAUUUCAGAAGAUAAAUCGUGCAUUAAUGUUAAUCAAAUUCAUUCUUAACAUUUGUUAAAAUUUCACGAAAUAAUCCUCUGUGAUUUGUUCAAAUAAAUACAAUAACCCGAUGUAUCCUGAUUUUUCGGCUAUGCUCUUACAAACGACGUCAUGAAGGGCCAACUGUGAUGUGCCCCGAAGAAGGGCCAUUGCCUGAAACGUCGAUUUUAUAUAUUUAAUCAUACAGUAUAUAUUUAUUACAAAUUAUUAUACAGGGUGGCCAAAAAGUAAAGACAGGGUUAUUUCAUUUAUAUUAACCCUCACAUAACGUUUUCAUUAUUUAUUUUAAAAAUUAACUUUAUACGUAUAGUCUUGAUGAUCUGUGCCUAGCGCCUGACACUCUGCACGCUGCAGGUAACGGUGGGUAGGCUACGUGCAUUUCCAUGCAAGUUUUUUUAUUUGCACGAAAGGCUUGGAUUAAAAUUGUAACUUAUUAUCAGUUGUUACCAGUACAAUUAAUUUUCUCCCAAAAUAUACCAGCACCUCAUGAUAAGAGCCAUGUCUGCCCCCUGUUUUUGUAUUUUAUGUUUGCGUUUUGUGCACCAUUGUUUGUGACUAAUAAUAAAUAACCUAUUCAGUU